rnacentral:rRNA from 1 species
UGAGGAACAUGACCUUCGGCGGGGGAUAGCCGGCCCAACGGCCGGGUAAUACCGCGUACGACCACAUGGGGACAUCCCAGAGUGGUGAAAGCAGCAAUGCGCCGAUGGAGUGCCUCGCGGCCUAUCAGCUAGUUGGUGAGGUAACGGCUCACCAAGGCGACGACGGGUAGCUGGUCUGAGAGGAUGGCCAGCCACAUUGGGACUGAGACACGGUCCAGACCUNUACGGGAGG